rnacentral:rRNA from 1 species
AGUGAACGCUGGCGGUAGGCCUAACACAUGCAAGUCGAACGGCAGCACAGUAAGAGCUUGCUCUUACGGGUGGCGAGUGGCGGACGGGUGAGGAAUACAUCGGAAUCUACUUUUUCGUGGGGGAUAACGUAGGGAAGCUUACGCUAAUACCGCAUACGACCUACGGGUGAAAGCAGGUGAUCUUCGGACCUUGCGCGAUUGAAUGAGCCGAUGUCGGAUUAGCUAGUUGGCGGGGUAAAGGCCCACCAAGGCGACGAUCCGUAGCUGGUCUGAGAGGAUGAUCAGCCACACUGUAACUGAGACACGGUCCAGACUCCUACGGGAGGCAGCAGUGGGGAAUAUUGGACAAUGGGCGCAAGCCUGAUCCAGCCAUACCGCGUGGGUGAAGAAGGCCUUCGGGUUGUAAAGCCCUUUUGUUGGGAAAGAAAAGCAGCAGGUUAAUACCCCGCUGUUCUGACGGUACCCAAAGAAUAAGCACCGGCUAACUUCGUG